CCUACGGGAGACAGCAGUAGGGAAUAUUGCUCAAUGGGGGAAACCCUGAAGCAGCAACGCCGCGUGGAGGAUGAAGGUUUUCGGAUUGUAAACUCCUUUUGUUAGAGAAGAUAAUGACGGUAUCUAACGAAUAAGCACCGGCUAACUCCGUGCCAGCAGCCGCGGGAAUACGGAGGGUGCAAGCGUUACUCGGAAUCACAGGGCGUAAAGAGCGCGUAGGCGGGAUAGCAAGUCAGAUGUGAAAUCCUAUGGCUUAACCAUAGAACUGCAGUUGAAACUGUUAUUCUAGAGUAUGGGAGAGGUAGGUGGAAUGCGUGGUGUAGGGGUAAAAUCCGUAGAGAUCAAGAGGAAUACUCAUUGCGAAGGCGACCUGCUAGAACAUAACUGACGCUGAUGCGCGAAAGCGUGGGGAGCAAACAGGAUUAGAUACCCUUGUAGUC
rnacentral:rRNA from 1 species